UACGUAGGGGGCAAGCGUUGUCCGGAAUCAUUGGGCGUAAAGAGCGUGUAGGCGGCUUGACAGGUCUGCUGUGAAAACUCGAGGCUCAACCUCGAGAUGUCGGCGGAAACCGUCUGGCUAGAGUCCGGAAGAGGAGAGUGGAAUUCCUGGUGUAGCGGUGAAAUGCGCAGAUAUCAGGAAGAACACCUAUGGCGAAGGCAGCUCCUCUGGGACGGUACUGACGCUGAGACGCGAAAGCGUGGGGAGCGAACAGG
rnacentral:rRNA from 1 species